rnacentral:rRNA from 1 species
UUCCUACGGGGCGCAGCAGUGAGGAAUAUUGGUCAAUGGCCGAAGGGCUGAACCAGCCAAGCCGCGUGAAGGAAUAAGGCCCUACGGGUCGUAAACUUCUUUAGUCAGGGAACAAAGGGUGCCACGUGUGGCGCUGUGAGUGUACCUGAAGAAUAAGCAUCGGCUAACUCCGUGCCAGCAGCCGCGGUAAUACGGAGGAUGCGAGCGUUAUCCGGCUUUAUUGGGUUUAAAGGGUGCGUAGGCGGAUCGUUAAGUCAGUGGUCAAAUUGAGGGGCUCAACCCCUUCCCUCCA